rnacentral:rRNA from 1 species
UAGGGAAUCUUCCGCAAUGGACGCAAGUCUGACGGAGCAACGCCGCGUGAGUGAAGAAGGAUUUCGGUUCGUAAAACUCUGUUGUUAGAGAAGAACAGCGCAUAGAGUAACUGUUAUGCGUGUGACGGAAUCUAACCAGAAAGCCACGGCUAACUACGUGCCAGCAGCCGCGGUAAUACGUAGGGCGCAAGCGUUAUCCGGAAUUAUUGGGCGUAAAGAGCUUGUAGGCGGUUCGUCGCGUCUGGUGUGAAAGCCCAUCGCUUAACGGUGGGUUUGCGCCGGGUACGGGCGGGCUAGAGUGCAGUAGGGGAGACUGGAAUUCCCGGUGUAACGGUGGAAUGUGUAGAUAUCGGGAAGAACACCAAUGGCGAAGGCAGGUCUCUGGGCUGUUACUGACGCUGAGAAGCGAAAGCGUGGGGAGCGAACAGG